UACGAAGGGGGCUAGCGUUGCUCGGAAUCACUGGGCGUAAAGCGCACGUAGGCGGUCUUUUAAGUCAGGGGUGAAAUCCUGGAGCUCAACUCCAGAACUGCCUUCGAUACUGCGGGUCUCGAGUCCGGGAGAGGUGAGCGGAAUUCCUAGUGUAGAGGUGAAAUUCGUAGAUAUUAGGAAGAACACCAGUGGCGAAGGCGGCUCACUGGCCCGGUACUGACGCUGAGGCGCGAAAGCGUGGGGAGCGAACAGG
rnacentral:rRNA from 1 species